UACAGAGGUGGCAAGCGUUGUUCGGAAUUACUGGGCGUAAAGGGCGCGUAGGCGGUCGGGAAAGUCCUGUGUGAAAUCCCUCGGCUCAACUGAGGAACUGCACGGGAAACUGCCUGACUUGAGUUCGGGAGAGGGAAGCGGAAUUCCGGGUGUAGCGGUGAAGUGCGUAGAUAUCCGGAGGAACACCGGUGGCGAAGGCGGCUUCCUGGACCGACACUGACGCUGAGGCGCGAAAGCGUGGGGAGCAAACAGG
rnacentral:rRNA from 1 species